rnacentral:misc_RNA from 1 species
ACAAUUAAUAAACCCCAAAAGAAUGAAAAACAAUUUUGAGAGGAGAAAACGAAUACCGUAUUUGUUCACAGAUACACAAAUUUUCACAUUUGUAACGUAGUUGGGUUCAAGAGACACUUUAAAAUGGUGAAAACUUUGUCUGUGGUAAAAACAGUUAGGUUAAGAAUGAUUAAAGUUUUUGAAAAUAAUUUUAUUUAGAAAUUUUUAUUAGUUUAAUGUUCCAUGUGCUAUAAAGAUCUCUUGUAUUUAUUGAAAUCAAACACUAAAUUCUAUCCUUUAAAAAUAUAACUAUUUAAGAGAAUAGGAACAAAACUUCAGAAUGGCCUUUGAUAAGAAUACGUCGCAUUUAUGUCCAAUUGCAAAAGAUGCUACAUUAUUAGGGCAAAAUUUAACUCAAUCAACAAGUAUGUCCAUACCCCUAUUGCCAUAUCCAUCUGAUCUAUUUGAAGAGUUUCUGCAUAAAUAUACGCCAUCAGAAUGGCAUAAAAAAAUUAGUUAUCUUGAUAAAAACUAUAUCUAUUUUCAAAUGCACCCAGAAUCUGAAGAAUAUAAGAGAAUUAAAGAUGAAUUUCAGUACAGUUGUAAAUGUAGUCAACUAAAACUAAAAAAAAUUGAGCGCGUUCAGCAUCCAUUUGCCUAUUUCAGUUUUCUUAUAAGAUGUCAACAAAUUCGUGAAAUGUGUAAAUGUGAACCAGAGAAAGAAUAUUUAUUCCAUUAAAAAGGAAUUUAUUUGAUGAUGAAUUGAUAUCAUACAAUGGCGAUUUUAGAAGAAUUAAAGAAAAUAGAGAAACUAAAAGGGGCUAUGUUGUUGUUGUAAUGAAAAUAUUAAGAGAUUACAAAUGCAGUUCGUUCCCAAUUAUUUAUGAGGAAGUAAGGGAUCAUGAAAAAUAUCCGGAGUACCUGAUAACAUUAGAAAUGGAUGGAAGUAAUGUAACUGGUAUUGAUGAUACAAUAGAUGUAGAAAAUUACUUUUCCGGCUCUACUAAUAAUUUGGGUUCAAGUCUUUGCAUCUCUAAAUAUUUAGAAGACUUUUACGAGUUAUUUGAUGUUUUCACGGACACCAAAGGUGAAUUACU